rnacentral:rRNA from 1 species
GUGAACAAUUAAACGGCCGCGGUAUCCUAACCGUGCAAAGGUAGCAUAAUCAUUUGUCUAUUAAUUGUAGUCCUGUAUGAAAGGCAAAAUGAGGUUUUGACUGUCUCUUGUGAUAAACCUAUUAAACUGAUCUUCUAGUAAAAAAGCUAAAAUGCCACCAUAAGACCAGAAGACCCUGUGAAGCUUGAACUAAACCGUUAAACCAAAUAACGAUUAAUUUCGGUUGGGGCAACCUUGGAAAUAAAAACAACUUCCAACUUAA